CCUACGGGUGGCAGCAGUGAGGAAUAUUGGUCAAUGGCCGGAAGGCUGAACCAGCCAAGUCGCGUGAGGGAAUAAGGCCCUAUGGGUCGUAAACCUCUUUUGUCAGGGAGCAAAGGCGUCCACGAGUGGACGAAAGGAGAGUACCUGAAGAAAAAGCAUCGGCUAACUCCGUGCCAGCAGCCGCGGUAAUACGGAGGAUGCGAGCGUUAUCCGGAUUUAUUGGGUUUAAAGGGUGCGUAGGCGGAGUGUCAAGUCAGCGGUAAAAUUUCGGGGCUCAACCCCGUCGUGCCGUUGAAACUGACACCCUUGAGUGAGUGAGAAGUAAGCGGAAUUCGUGGUGUAGCGGUGAAAUGCUUAGAUAUCACGAAGAACUCCGAUUGCGAAGGCAGCUCACUGGACUGCAACUGACACUGAGGCUCGAAAGUGUGGGUAUCAAACAGGAUUAGAUACCCGGGUAGUC
rnacentral:rRNA from 1 species